UUUUAGAAAAGAAGUAGGCUUUGCUCAAUGAAAAUUAAAUAGCCGUAGUAUUUUGACUAUGCUAAGGUAGCAUAAUAAUUUGUCUUAUAAUAGAAGACUAGAAUGAAAGAGUUGACGACAUUUUUGCUUUUUUCAAAAAAAAAAAUUGAAUUUAAUAUCUUCCUAAAAAAGUGAAGAUUUUCUAAGGGGACGAUAAGACCCUAUAAAACUUUACUUAAAAUUUCCAAAAAGAAAUUUUUGAGUCUGGUUAAGUUGAGCUGGGGCGGUAGCUACCAAUUCGGUAGUAGAAAAAACAAUAAUUUUUGAGUUAAAAGAUCUAAAAUAAGAAAUAGAAUAAGUUACUUUAGGGAUAACAGCAUAAUUUUUUUUUAUAGAUCUUAUAGAUAAAAAAGACUUAUGACCUCGAUGUUGAAUUGAGAAGAUCUAUUUUAGCAGAAAAAGAAAAGACUGGUCUGUUCGACCUCUAAGUUCUC
rnacentral:rRNA from 1 species